UACGUAGGGUGCAAGCGUUGUCCGGAAUUAUUGGGCGUAAAGAGCUCGUAGGCGGCUUGUCGCGUCGUCCGUGAAAACCCACAGCUCAACUGUGGGCUUGCGGUCGAUACGGGCAGGCUAGAGUUCGGCAGGGGAGACUGGAAUUCCUGGUGUAGCGGUGGAAUGCGCAGAUAUCAGGAGGAACACCGGUGGCGAAGGCGGGUCUCUGGGCAGUAACUGACGCUGAGGAGCGAAAGCGUGGGGAGCGAACAGG
rnacentral:rRNA from 1 species